AGACAGAUAACUUGAGUAGGGGGUUAGAAAAACUUUUCCCCUUCUCCUUUAGCAAUUCUUCUCGUGCCUCUGCUGCUCCAGUGCUCGUCGUUCCCAGCCGACGUUCUUGCAAUUUUCCGCUUCCCGUUCCAGUUGUUCCAAUCCCUAGUCUUCACUCCCCAAUACGAAUGUUGGCCGCACGCUCAGUCCCGGUGGUUCCCUCUCUGCGAGGGUGGAGGGCACGACGCACGAGGGCCGCCGAUGAGGGGAGGCACAGCUUCAAUGCAAGGCGAUGAUGGGCAAGCUGCUCGUGGACGAGAGGAAGGCGUCGUCGGCGCUUGUGUAGAGGGCAGUGAAGAAGACGGCGGCCAUCCACCAUGCAGGAGAUGACGCUCCCCCUCAAGGUCACCGCCCUGCCCGCCGCUGGUCGGGCCCGUGCAAGCGUCGCCCACCAGUUGCUGUCCCGAUGCCCACCUCUUGCGCUGACGCUAAGGCCGGCCACUGCACGGCUGUUGCUCCGCCUCCGCCGCCGCACGCGGAUUCCACCCCAGCACUCGAUCGCCAAUUGUUCGACACUGGGGCCCGACCAUAGUCAAGGGAACUUGUUGCUUUAUCAGUCAAUGAAGCUGGGACUGCAGAAUCGGCCGCUACACAUGAACCCGGCUGUGCCUGUGCGCGCGCGCUCCGAAAGGAAAAUAUCCCCGCACUGAUACUUUACAGGGAUCAUGAAUGAUGGAUCACUCACUUGGGGAGAACUAUAUGAGAUGGUCACAAGGUACUGAACAGUGGCUUAAUCAUAAGAAUUGUCUCAGGAGAAGAAGUUAAGAUAUGAGAGGAUACUGGAUUCCCAUGACUUUCUAUCUCAGAAAGAUACAUAUGGACUGAGUGAACAUGCUUCUAUGUGGAUGGAAGCUAAAAGCCCCACUGAAGGUUGAAAGCUUGGAGCUGGAUGGUCUAGCAUAUUUUUGACCUGACUAUGAACCUGCUAAGCUGUCGGCACAUUGAGAACCAGGAGCCUGUGCAUUCUUGUGGGGACAGGGAAGAUUCCAUCUUCCAAAGCAUGAUAUCAUGUCUGAAUGUGAUUGCAGUCUGGUCAGCAAUCAAGGUAACUGCAUAACCCGUGCCCACACCUGUUAACCUGGCGUCUGAUAUCCUUAAUACCAAGGUUUCCUCGACAGCGGAAGCCACCGUAAUUGUUUGUGGAGCAUACUUGAUCUGGAAUUCUGGAUGAGUAGGAGCAGGGUGAAGAAAGUUACACAAGGUUUGAUGCUGGUGCGAAUGGCUGGGUGAGCAGCGUAGUUCUCAAACUUUUUUGACUGAUUCACUCGAAAAUUGUCAAAGAGAAGAAUGAUGUUAAAUGGAAACCCCUCCAGCACAGUCGAUCAAGAUCAAUGUGGAUGAAGCAGUUAACCAAGGGUCACAUACCAGAUCAACUGAUGCUGUUAUUUACUAGGCCAACGCAGAGUUCCUGGCUGCAUGCAAUGAAUGCCACAAUAUUUUGCCUGAGGACUUUGGUGGCCGAGGCCAUUGCUUGUAGCAAUGGAGUUAAACAGGCCAAUGAUCAAGGAUCCAAGGUUUCCAGCUGAUGAUCCUUGAAACCGAUUACCAGAUCCGAUCGCACUCAAAUGCUUCUUAUACUGUUGCUGUUGAACAACUUUGGAACAUAAUGGAUCCUGAGCAUGUCCGCUGGAGUAAAAUAGGAUACUGCAACAGGUUAGUAUGCAUUGUUUUUGACACAGGUUACCACAGUUUUUCCUAACUCAUUGAGGAGUUUAAAGUCAUGCAAAAUUGCAAUGAUCACUUAAAUAAUGGAGUGAUGUCAAAAAAUUAUAAAAUAAGAGGCGUUCCGUACUUAAGGAUAUGCACGUGUAUUGGCACUAUGAUAUAAAGAUAAUGCUAAUCAACUGCAAUGAACUUGUUCUCAUCAGUAUUAAGAGUCAAGAUUUCAGAAUAAUUUGUCUUGUGUGAUGCAGGUUGAUCUGUAAGCUUGUAUUCAUUGCGGAUUUGCGUGUUGAGAUAAUAUCUACCUAACGAGCUGCCGAUUCUCCAUUCAUUUAUUUGUCACGUUCGCGAUGAGUAUGUAUAUUCAUUUGCUAAUGAUAAAAAGUCCUUAUGUUGCCUUAUUUGAGAUUCAUUUUGAAUUGUCUUGUAAUUAACUGGCAAGGGUUUCCCUAAAAAAUAUGAAUUGACAAAGGGCCUUUAGAAAAUUUCAGGAGCAUAUCACGUUUUCCCUAGUGAAAUUGAUAAAAUUAAAUAGUAGGUGCUUUUCAGUGACAGUGGUCUGUGACAUAACAAUAUCUGACUGCAGUUACCACAAACUGUUGUUUUCUGCAUUUCUUAUUUUCUUUGUAACACUUGCUGCACUUUCAGUCUCAAAUGCUUUAUUGUAGCGUUGUAGGUUGCCGGAGACAAUUUUUUGUUGUACUGGUUCAUGAAUCUAUUAUUUCAUUAUCUAAUUACCGAUUCUUCUAUUCAAAUCUCCUUUUAUAGCUGCAUCAAAAUUUUGUGCUAAAGGGCCGCAAUUUACACACGCUUUUCCAUGGAAGUGUGUAGUAAUAUUAGGUAUGGUGAUAUUGUUUAUGUAAAUCUGGGAACCUAGGUUCUCCAAAUUCUAUUGCUAUUAGAUACUACCUCCAUUCGUAAAUAUAAGAUGUUCUAGUUUUGUCCUAAGUCAAAUUUAUUCAAGUUUGACCAAGUUCAUAGAAAAAUUUACUACUCUAUCAAAAAUCAAAUAAGUAUAUUAUGAAGAUAUAUAUCAUGACAGAUUUAACAGAACUAUUUUAGAGUAUAAAUGUUGGUAGAUUUUUCUGUAAACUUGGUCAAACUCUAAGAACAUCUUAUAUUUAGGAACGGAGGGAGUAUUACCUUAACUUGGCCAUUUGAAUUUCUUAUUCAUGGUACAGUAUUCAAAUAUUAAAGUUGGUCAAGGUUGCAGUCAACUCUGAAAUUUGCAUAUAUGUUGUUUCUUUUAUGCGUACUUACUAGUACUGAGGAACAUAUGUUCAUAUACACUUGUGAACUAAACAAAAGGUGUCUUUGAUGUGUGCUUUUGGGUAAAGUUUACAGUGGAGUAGUAUAGAAUACCGAGUGAGAAAGCUUUGUUGGACUUUCCAAUUAACAAGAAGAUGAAUUGUUGUGGAGAUCAUAAUAUUUUCUGUGAUUUAGUGACCUAGCAACAGCUAUAUCCAUUUGCUGUACUCAUCAAUAUGAUGCAUCGUACUAUCAUGAAUAUGCUACAUUGUACUAAAAUUAUUUGUGAUGUGCCCUAAUGAGUAACGAGACUAUACAUGGAAGUCUUAGAUUUGAGGUAUGUACAAGUGACAGUCCCAAACACAGGUGUGCAAUGUGGUUAGUGAGGCUACUGCUCUUCUUACUUGCUUUCAACAAAGCGGAAUGUUAUUCGUGUGCAGCUUCGAUUGCUGAAAAAAGAAAUAUCAGAGUUCAUGCAUAUAUGAUGUUGACUCCUUUCUGCAAUUUAUUAUACUCUAUUAGAUGCAUAUGUCUUGCAGCUCAAUCAUUUAUUCACAAUGUGCACUCCCGAAAAUGUACAAAAUGCAGGUGUGUAUUGCGUGUUCUUAGCCAUUUUAUAAAUAUGAGUUAUGUUUUAUCCCUGUGUUUCAUGUAGAUUAACUGUUGCUAUAAUGUUCAGAAACACAUUUUUAGCUCAUAUCUGCCGUUAUGAUUUGGACAUAUUAGUGCUAUUAAGAUGUGAUGUGACGGAGAGGGGAGUUGGAUAGAGUUCUGUGAGUCCUCUUUCUUGGCCAUUUUAACAUCCAGGUCCAUAGUUUGAAUGGAAUUUUGUUCUCUCCUCUUUACAGGUCAGCUAUCAAGCAGUUGCAGCUGAAUUGUUGACAGCUGUGCUUGGCUCUCCGAGCCGAGCCUCCGAGGGAAUGUUCUUUUGUUGAUGGACCAUAGAUCAACAAGGACAACUAAACUCGUUUCAACUCUUGCUGUGAUUUUAGUACUUCGACUAGUAGCUUUACCCGUAUAACCGUGUACCAUUGGAUUUGUGCCGUCAUUUUUUUAUUGUGGUAAAAGUUGUCGCCGCGGGAAUACAGGAGUGGGGCCCAUGCUGCAGCAGCUGCUCGCGGAGAGAAAGCCGUGGCGAGUGGCGAGUGGCUCGGUGGGACGGAGUAGUCCGUACCUGGGAAGUAGGGGCAGCGGGGGAGCGAGGCCGGUGGAGGGCAGCCCGGAGCCGCAUGCGGUGUAUUUACAGGAAGUUUUGCGUUCCGGGAAUGUAAUAAAGGCCGUUUACUAAGUUUGCGAAAUCCAGCGCGACACGCGCUGUGGGCUGUACUAUUAAACGAUUUCCGUACAGUUAUUUAAUUACUCCUAUUAUACUGACCAUUUAAUUAGGUUAA